rnacentral:rRNA from 1 species
GAGGCAGCAGUGGGGAAUUUUGGACAAUGGGCGAAAGCCUGAUCCAGCAAUGCCGCGUGAGUGAAGAAGGCCUUCGGGUUGUAAAGCUCUUUUGUCAGGGAAGAAACGGUAUGGGCUAAUAUCCCGUACUAAUGACGGUACCUGAAGAAUAAGCACCGGCUAACUACGUGCCAGCAGCCGCGGUAAUACGCAGGGUGCAAGCGUUAAUCGGAAUUACUGGGCGUAAAGCGUGCGCAGGCGGUUUUGUAAGUCUGUCGUGAAAGCCCCGGGCUCAACCUGGGAAUUGCGAUGGAGACUGCAAGGCUUGAAUCUGGCAGAGGGGGGUAGAAUUCCACGUGUAGCAGUGAAAUGCGUAGAGAUGUGGAGGAACACCGAUGGCGAAGGCAGCCCCCUGGGUCAAGAUUGACGCUCAUGCACGAAAGCGUGGGGAGCAAACAGGAUUAGAUACCCUGGUAGUCCACGCCCUAAACGAUGUCUACUAGUUGUCGGGUUUUAAUUAACUUGGUAACGCAGCUAACGCGUGAAGUAGACCGCCUGGGGAGUACGGUCGCAAGAUUAAAACUCAAAGGAAUUGACGGGGACCCGCACAAGCGGUGGAUGAUGUGGAUUAAUUCGAUGCAACGCGAAAAACCUUACCUACCCUUGACAUGGACGGAAGCCACGAGAGAUCGAGGUGUGCUCGAAAGAGAACCGUCACACAGGUGCUGCAUGGCUGUCGUCAGCUCGUGUCGUGAGAUGUUGGGUUAAGUCCCGCAACGAGCGCAACCCUUGUCAUUAGUUGCUACGAAAGAGCACUCUAAUGAGACUGCCGGUGACAAACCGGAGGAAGGUGGGGAUGACGUCAAGUCCUCAUGGCCCUUAUGGGUAGGGCUUCACACGUCAUACAAUGGUACAUACAGAGGGCCGCCAACCCGCGAGGGGGAGCUAAUCCCAGAAAGUGUAUCGUAGUCCGGAUUGUAGUCUGCAACUCGACUACAUGAAGUUGGAAUCGCUA